rnacentral:misc_RNA from 1 species
GGCCAUGCCAUGCAUGCCAGCCUCCACCUCCUCCUCUUGGAGUUCCCUCUCCCCUGCAGGCUGGCCGGCCGCGUUUCCGUUUCGUCUUCUGGUUCCUGGAGCGGCGAAGACAACGCAUACAUCGCGCUGCCAGACCUGUUCACCUCCGGUUCCUUUAUCUCGUCGCUCACAGGGGGGCGGGUGUACUCCCAAGGUCGAUUGCCUCUUCGCGUUUCGUCUUCUGGGAGCGGCGGAGACGGGCAGCAAUUAAUGCAACUAUAUGCAAGCAGCAGCAGCAGCCGCCGCCUGGGCUACUACAAAUAGCAAAGGCAACAGCUGCUGCGCCAAGACCAAGAUGCUGUGGGGAGUAUUGUUCCAAUUCAUGUGGGCUGUCGUCUCCCUUGUCGUGACGGCCUUGGUGGCCUGCUGGGCGAAGUGAAUCCUGAUGGCCGGCGGCGUCGACAGAGCUAGAAAUAAAUAAAAAGGCAUAGCGAACGCCUGUGGUCAUGGUGACGGCCUCGCAUCGAGAUCUUGCUGUUUCGUCGUCGUUGCUGUUUCCCUGAUAGUACUAUAUAUGUAUUGAUUGCGU